CCUUCCUAACUCUCCUCUUUAGGAGCGUACCCAUCCCCCGCUCAUUACUUCCCCCCUCCUCCUCCACCCCCUUGCAGCACCCUUCCUCCUCCCCUUCCACCCUUCCUCUUGUCUUCCUCAGUCCUGCUCCUCCUUCUCUUUCUCCUCCUCCUCCUACCCCACUUCCUUUUCUGCCAGCUGGCGGGUCCCUCCAGUCGACCCCUAGAGCAACAAGGAUCGACCCUCUGAUAUACACACUUCCCCCCCGCCCCCUUUCCCAACUGUGUUUGAGCUGUGGAUGAACACGGGGUUCAGCGAAGCAGGGCAUUAUGACCCGCUUUUAUCGAGAGUGCAGCGUCUCCCUCGGACACAGGCUGCUGUUCAUCAUAGCUUAGAACCGCCUCUGAGGAGUCUCUUGGGGAGUCCCUCCUCUUCUGACCAACGGAGU